rnacentral:rRNA from 1 species
AUAACAGUUGGAAACGACUGCUAAUGCCCUAUAUGCCUUUAAGACAUAAGUCUGCAAGGGNAACGCUUUAGUGCUAGAGGAUGGGACUGUAUGGUAUCAGCUAGUUGGUGAGGUAAAGGCUCACCAAGGCAAUGACGCCUAACUGGUUUGAGAGGAUGAUCAGUCACACUGGAACUGAGACACGGUCCAGACUCCUACGGGAGGCAGCAGUGGGGNAUAUUGCACAAUGGAGGAAACUCUGAUGCAGCAACGCCGCGUGGAGGAUGACACUUUUCGGAGNGUAAACUCCUUU